rnacentral:lncRNA from 1 species
GGAUGCCGGGCCAUGAUAGAUGCCAGGAAGUCAACUUAAGGCAGCUGUAUCAGUAUGAUUUGGCCUGAAGAAGAGUGAUCAUUCCUGUAGGCAAAAAUGUCCUGGUUUAAAAGUAGACAGAGAAGGAAAUGGAAAACCAUCCCAGGAGGUUCGCCAAGAAAACACCAAAUGGGGUCACACAAAUCAGAUAUGUCUGAAACAACAAAACAACAAUAACAUAUUGUAAGAAAUUUUGGGGACCUUGCUUCUUUUCUCUUAUUAAACAAUGUUUUAUUCUAGUUUAAGCUGGAUAAAUUUGUUUCACACUAUAUU